rnacentral:pre_miRNA from 1 species
UUGUCACCUGGAGUUCUCCACAAACUACUUCAGUAGCAACACACACCCCUAGUUUAAUGCACCGUGUUUGCAUGUUUGUGUGGAGCUGUGUGUGUACAUAGUGAAGUGUUUGGGGGAACUCUGGGUGGCAA